GACGAACGCUGGCGGCGUGCUUAACACAUGCAAGUCGAACGGAAAGGCCUCUUUCGGGGGGUACUCGAGUGGCGAACGGGUGAGUAACACGUGAGUAACCUGCCCUUGACUUUGGGAUAACUUCAGGAAACUGGGGCUAAUACCGGAUAGGAGCUCCUGCUGCAUGGUGGGGGUUGGAAAGUUUCGGCGGGUGGGGAUGGACUCGCGGCUUAUCAGCUUGUUGGUGGGUUAGUGGCUUACCAAGGCUUUGACGGGUAGCCGGCCUGAGAGGGUGACCGGCCACAUUGGGACUGAGAUACGGCCCAGACUCCUACGGGAGGCAGCAGUGGGGAAUAUUGCACAAUGGGUGGAAGCCUGAUGCAGCAACGCCGUGUGCGGGAUGACGGCCUUCGGGUUGUAAACCGCUUUCGCUCAUGACGAAGCUUUGUGUGACGGUAGUGGGUAAAGAAGCACCGGCUAACUACGUG
rnacentral:rRNA from 1 species